AUGAAAAUAGACAUAUCUUCUCUUUCUUGGGCGGGGCACCAAAUUCAUGCAUCUUUAACAAUUAACCAAUUUCUUGACGCUGGGGUGAAUCCUAAAGAGAUAUCACUUCCUCAUGAAUUUAUCUUGAAUCGGGACCUUUUGGCUCAACUUUAUCCUAGUUUUACCGAAGGAGCAACCCCUUUUUUCACUUUAAAUUGGUCCAAAUACGCAGAAUUUCUUAGUUUUCGCGGAGGACUAGAUCCAUUAACUGGUGGUCUCUGGCUGACCGAUAUUGCGCAGCAUCAUCUAGCUAUUGCUAUUUUUCUAAUCAAAGGUCAUAUGUAUAUGACCAAUUGGGGUAUUGGCCAUGUACUUAAAGAUAUUUUGGAGGCUCACAAGGGCCCAUUUCGAGGACAAGUCCAUAAGGGUCUUUAUGAAAUCUUAACAAUGUCAUGGCAUGGUCAAUUAUCUCUUAAUCUAGCUAUGAUGGGCUCUACAACCAUUGUUGUAGCUCAUCAUAUGUAUUCUAUGCCUCCCUAUCCAUACCUAGCUACUGACUAUGGUACACAACUUUCCUUGUUCACACACCACAUGUGGAUUGGCAGAUUUCUAAUACUCGGUGCUGCUACACAUGCAACAAUUUUUAUGGUAAGAGACUAUGAUCAAAAUACUCGAUACAACGAUCUAUUAGAUCGCGUCAUUAGACACCGUGAUGCAAUCAUAUCCCACCUUAACGGGGUAUGUAUAUUUAUAGGUUUUCACAGUUUUGGCUUGUACAUUCACAAUGCUACCAUGAGUGAUUUAGGGCAUCCACCAGAUAUGAUUUCGGAUACUGCCAUACAAUUACAACCUAUAUUUGCUCAAUGGGUACAAAAUAUCCAUGCAAUUGCGCCUGGCAUAACAGCUCCUGGUGCAACACCAAGUACUAGCUUAACGUGGGGAGGCGGCGAGUUAGUAGCAGUAGGUGGCAAAGUGGCUUUGUUACCUAUUCAAUUAGGAACUGCAGAUUUUUUAGUCCAUCACAUUCAUGCAUUUACCAUACAUGUGACUGUAUUAAUACUAUUGAAAGGUGUUUUAUUUUCUCUAAGUUCCCGUUUCAUACCCAAUAAAGCAAAUCUAGGCUUUUGUUUUCCUUGCGAUGGGCCUGGCCGAGGGGGAACAUGUCAAGUAUCCUCCUGGGAUCAUGUUUUCUUAGGUUUAUUAUGGAUGUACAAUGUUAUUUCGGUAGUCAUUUUCCAUUUCAGUUGGAAAAUGUAGUCGGAUGUUUGGGCUACUAUAAGUGCUCAAGGGGUGGUAGCUCAUAUUACAGGGGGAAACUUCGCAUAGAGUUCCACUACGAUUAAUGGGUGGCUUCGAGAUUUCUUGUGGGCACAGGCAUCGCAAGUCAUUCAGUCUUAUGGUUCUUCAUUAUCUACAUAUGGUAUUUUUUUCAUAGGUGCUCAUUUUGUUUGGGCCUUCAGUUUAAUAUUUUUAUUCAGCAGUCGUGGUUAUUGGCAAGAACUCACUGAAUCUAUCGUUUGGGCUCAUAACAAAUUUAAAGUUCCUCCUGCUACUCAGUCUAGAGCCUUGAGCAUUAUACAAGGACGUGUUGUAGGAGUAACCCAUUACCUUCUGGGUGGAAUUGCCAUGACAUGAGCAUUCUUCUUAGCAAGAAUUAUUGCAGUAGGAUAG
rnacentral:rRNA from 1 species